GUACUUGCUUCGGCAGUACAUAUACUGAAAUUGAAACGAUACAGAGAAUAUGAGUAUAGCCACUGCGUAAGGAUGACAAGAAAUAUCGUGAAGUGUUUCACAUUUUU